UACGGAGGGUGCAAACGUUGCUCGGAAUCAUUGGGCGUAAAGCGCACGUAGGCGGCCUGAUAAGUCGGGUGUGAAAGCCCUGGGCUCAACCCAGGAAGUGCACUCGAAACUGUCAGGCUUGAAUAUGGAAGAGGGUCGCGGAAUUCCCGGUGUAGAGGUGAAAUUCGUAGAUAUUAGGAAGAACACCGGUGGCGAAGGCGGCCAUCUGGCUCGGUACUGACGCUCAGGCGCGAAAGCGUGGGGAGCAAACAGG
rnacentral:rRNA from 1 species